GGGGGUGUGCCCGAGCGGCCAAAGGGAGCAGACUGUAAAUCUGCCGGCUUACGCCUACGGAGGUUCGAAUCCUCCCGCCCCCACCC
rnacentral:tRNA from 1 species